rnacentral:rRNA from 1 species
GACGAACGCUGGCGGCGUGCUUAACACAUGCAAGUCGAACGGAAAGGCCCUGCUUUUGUGGGGUGCUCGAGUGGCGAACGGGUGAGUAACACGUGAGUAACCUGCCCUUGACUUUGGGAUAACUUCAGGAAACUGGGGCUAAUACCGGAUAGGAGCUCCUGCUGCAUGGUGGGGGUUGGAAAGUUUCGGCGGUUGGGGGUGGACUCGCGGCUUAUCAGCUUGUUGGUGGGGUAGCGGCUUACCAAGGCUUUGACGGGUAGCCGGCCUGAGAGGGUGACCGGCCACAUUGGGACUGAGAUACGGCCCAGACUCCUACGGGAGGCAGCAGUGGGGAAUAUUGCACAAUGGGCGGAAGCCUGAUGCAGCAACGCCGCGUGCGGGAUGACGGCCUUCGGGUUGUAAACCGCUUUCGCCUGUGACGAAGCGUGAGUGACGGUAAUGGGUAAAGAAGCACCGGCUAACUACGUG